rnacentral:rRNA from 1 species
GACGAACGCUGGCGGCGUGCUUAACGCAUGCAAGUCGAGCGAUGAAGCUCCUUCGGGAGUGGAUUAGCGGCGGACGGGUGAGUAACACGUGGGUAACCUGCCUCAUAGAGGGGAAUAGCCUUCCGAAAGGAAGAUUAAUACCGCAUAAGAUUGUAGUGCCGCAUGGUACAGCAAUUAAAGGAGCAAUCCGCUAUGAGAUGGACCCGCGUCGCAUUAGCUAGUUGGUGAGGUAACGGCUCACCAAGGCGACGAUGCGUAGCCGACCUGAGAGGGUGAUCGGCCACAUUGGGACUGAGACACGGCCCAGACUCCUACGGGAGGCAGCAGUGGGGAAUAUUGCACAAUGGGGGAAACCCUGAUGCAGCAACGCCGCGUGAGUGAUGACGGUCUUCGGAUUGUAAAACUCUGUCUUCAGGGACGAUAAUGACGGUACCUGAGGAGGAAGCCACGGCUAACUACGUGCCAGCAGCCGCCGUAA